rnacentral:rRNA from 1 species
UACCAGCUCUCCGAGUGGUAGGGAUGAUUAUUGGGCUUAAAGCGUCCGUAGCCGGCUUAGCAAGUCUCCUGUUAAACUCAGCGACCUAAUCGUUGAAUCGCGGGAGAUACUACUAGGCUAGGAGGCGGGAGAGGUCGACGGUACUUCUGGGGUAGGGGUGAAAUCCUAUAAUCCCGGGAGGACCACCAGUGGCGAAGGCUGUCGACUAGAACGCGCUCGACGGUGAGGGACGAAAGCUGGGGUAGCGAACCGGAUUAGAUACCCGGGUAGUCCCAGCUGUAAACGAUGCGUGCUAGGUGUUGGGAUGGCUACGGGCCAUUUCAGUGCCGCAGGGAAGCCAUUAAGCCCGCCGCCUGGGGAGUACGGCCGCAAGGCUGAAACUUAAGAAAUUGGCGGGGAGCACCACAAGGCGUGAAGCUUGCGGUUC